CCACUCCCGUUUGCUUCUGCGUCUUCAGCAGCUUCGAACAUGGUAAGACCCUCCCCCUCUGUGAAAUUGUGAAGGAGGUAUCUUUCGAGGUGAAGAAGCGGCAACCCGGAAGUUCCAAGCUUUUCUGGUGCUACGGUUUCAGAAAGAAAGAGAUGCUAGCUUUCUUUGUUUGAUUGAAUACACUUGCUGGUGCACAGGUUCAUGAAGUUCAAAGAUAAAGCUACAUUCUUCGGUGGUCUCUCAUUUCUCUUCGCUCAGCCUUGCCUUCGCCACCGCCACCGUGAGCUUGCCUGCCGUGUGUGACCUAGUCAUCGAGUCCUAACCACAGUCGCCUUCCUCUUAAUUUCUGUGUCUCGACUAUAGAGUGUUCCGUUAUUGAUGAUUGGCCGCACAUUGAGCCAGAUCUGGCUCUGCUCUCUUGACUAGAGCCAAAAUUGACGAAAAUUACCAAAAAAGUUUUCAACCUA